rnacentral:lncRNA from 1 species
GACAAUCUACAUGCUCAUCAGGGAAAUCUGCAGAGAUGGAAAGCUUCCAUUUUCUUUGCAAUACACUGAGCAUCGGAGGCACCAAAGAUUUACUUCAAAGGAAAAUGGUGCAACAAGUCCUUUUCUGUGAUUACAACGGGAGCAUUAACACACAUUCCUCAGAACCACAUGCAGGGUUUUAUUUCCUUGGAGGUGGUAGUUUCCAGGCCCGGAGACCUGAAUCAAAAGCAUGUUAUAAGGGUGCACAAGGGGCUCAGCCUCAUGUUUUUGCACAUUUCCUGCUGGAAUCCGAGAAGGAGCCCUUUCUCCAAGGGGCCCUGGUUCCUGUCACUGGAGAAUGGUCUCAGAAGCGGAGGUCCGGCUUGGAGGUGUCCACCGCGCCUGGAGAGGACCCGAGGGCCGCAGGAGGCGUGAAACAGAAAGGGAGCCACCUGAGCCCUCGCUGUUGCCGGUGGUUUUGAUUUCCUUUGAUUUCCCGGCCUCAUCUCGCGGUCCUGGGCGGAAAGGCGACCCGCAGUUAAAAGGCGAGAGGCGCCGCAGCGCCCGCAGCAAGAGGAAGCGUCCGGGAACCUCUGCGGCAGCGCGUGAGUUGGGCAGCGCUCCUCGCCCGCUACCCUCCCAGCCGCUGGCGGGUCCCAGAGCUGAAAGAACACAUGGUGAUUAUACUCCGGGAGGCUGCAGCUGCAGACAUAUCUAACACUUCCGCCGGAAAAUUCAGCUAAGUAAAUCUUUGCUUUGACUAAGGAAUUUUAUCAAAUGGAUUUUAAAUAUAACAAUAAUGCGUUUAUUUCAAAAGCGAGUGCUGCCAAAAACAAUUUUCCUAAAACCACUUCACUCCAGUAUCUGGAGCCUGGUAAAAACAUAUCAGUUCGUGAGAAAUGCAUAUAUAUUUGUAUAAAAAGAUGUCAUGGCUAUUUUCAUUUGGGAACAGAUCUUGCAGUUGAAAUUAUAAAUCUGUGCUGUUUUUACCAGAAGAAGAUAAAAAUAUUAAAAGGACAUCCAGGGUAAUAUCUUGUUAGGAAUAAUUUGCCAAACAGCUUCUUGAGAACAUUUUCCUUUACUUAUGUCAUUUGCUGGCUAUGGUGAAGAGGGCCCAAGAGACCCACUGGGACUCUGAUUCCACUUGUGACCAUGAUUAGAUAAGACCUUGACCAAGUUAACUCCUUUAGGCCUCGGUUCUCUCAUCUGUAAAAUGGGAAUAAGAAUACUUAGCUAUAGAAAUAUUGCAAAGAAUAAAUGAGGAAUUCUCAUUGUGGUUCAGCAGGUUAAGGACCCGACAUAGUCUCUGUGAGGAUGCAGGUUUGAUCCCCGGACUCACUCAGUGGGUUAGGGAUCCAGCAUUGCUGCAAGCUGCAGUGUAGGUCACAGAUGCCACCUGGAUCCAUUGUUGCCAUGGCUGUGGCAUAAGCCUCAGCUCCAUUUCCAAUUUGACCCCUAGCCCAGGAACUUCCAUAUGCCACAGGUGCAACUGUAAAAAGAAUAAAUGAGAAAGGGUGUGUAUUUUCAACAAUUUAUCAAACCAGACGGUUGGACACAGUAUCCCAUCCUCCCAUCAAUCCAGAGGAUUCCUGAGCGAAGUAAAAGCCUGGGGCAGGGUCUGGCUAAAGAACACCCUUUACUGCUAGGAGGUCAUAAACACUAAUGCACGCAGACCACUCCUUCGUCUACACACCCUGGAUCAUGGGUUCAGAGUAAAACUCAGCUGGACCCUAGGGAGCUUUCCCAGGAACAGCACCCCCAUGACCCCUGCCUCUUAUUUGUAGAAAAGCUUUAGCCUCCUAGGCCUUCCCUGAGUUUCAAAGAGCAAAUUUAAUCAGAAAAAUGAGGGAAAGGCAGAAGCAAAGGAUAAUCACCAAGCAAGAGAAAAUACUGAGAGUUUAGCCAUAAAGGGAAGUCAAGGACUUUUGUUGCUCCUCAAGGACUGUAGAUGAUAUCCUAAGCCAUAUCCUUGAGUUGUUUUGCAGACACCAAAAUCCCCAUAAGGAGGAAGAAGUUAAUUGCAUGCCAACCACCAGUCCAGACCUA